CAGUAGCCGCGGUAAUACGUAGGGUGCAAGCGUUAAUCGGAAUUACUGGGCGUAAAGCGUGCGCAGGCGGUUUGUUAAGACAGAUGUGAAAUCCCCGGGCUCAACCUGGGAACUGCAUUUGUGACUGGCAAGCUAGAGUGUGGCAGAGGGGGGUGGAAUUCCGCGUGUAGCAGUGAAAUGCGUAGAUAUGCGGAUGAACACCGAUGGCGAAGGCAGCCACCUGGUCCACUUCUGACGCUGAGGCGCGAAAGCGUGGGGAGCAAACAGGAUUAGAUACCCGGGUAGUCCCUGUCUCUUAUAC
rnacentral:rRNA from 1 species